rnacentral:rRNA from 1 species
UACGGAGGGUGCGAGCGUUGUCCGGAAUCACUGGGCGUAAAGGGCGCGUAGGCGGCGCGAGCAGUCGAUCGUGAAAGUCCGGAGCUCAACUCCGGAUCGGCGGUCGAUACUCUCGUGCUUGAGCACUGUAGAGGCAGAUGGAAUUCCGGGUGUAGCGGUGGAAUGCGUAGAGAUCCGGAAGAACACCGGUGGCGAAGGCGGUUCUCUGGGCAUUACCUGACGCUGAGGAGCGAAAGUGUGGGGAGCGAACAGG